rnacentral:tRNA from 1 species
GGCUUCACAGCUCCGUUGGUCGAGCAUCGCACCGGUAUCGCGGAGGUCACGGGUUUGAAGCCCAUUGAAGCCC